UGUGUGUGUGUGUGUAUGUAUAUAUGUGAGCACAAGUGUGUACCUACGCUGCUACAUGUAUAUAUAAAUAUAAAAAAUGGAACAAAAAUGUAAUAGAGGACAAUAAAACAUUCGGACAAACAGACGAUACAAAGGCGGAUAGGAGAAACAAUAAUUUGAAGGACAGGCAAAAAAAGGACAGGUCAUUCGUGACCUUCUUUCUUCAGUCAAAUUACCAGAUGUCCUUACUGUUUCGGGCAAUUACACUUGAGACAGUUCGAUCUGGUUGCUCCCAAAAAAGCCUAAGCUAAGAGCAUUAGAUCUUUUGUAAGAAAGCUAGCAAUGUGUACAGCAACAAAGACAAAAAACGGAGAACAUGGUACACAAUUACAAACACAAACAACAAGAUUAUAACA